GCCUGGGUGGCUCAGUCGGUUAAGCAUCCGACUUCAGCUCGGGUCAUGAUCUCACAGUUCAUGGGUUCAAGCCCCGUGUUGGGUU
rnacentral:tRNA from 1 species